CACAAUGUUGAGUUCCUAAAAUGAGGGGAGAAGUGUUCCUUCUUUUUUCUGCUUUAAUUGUUUGAUAUAAUUUAUCAGUUAAAAUGUUUAUGAGCCUGCUGUUGUCAUAUAGGUAGGUUUUCAAGCUAGGAAUAUACUUUCUUUAAUAGGUGCUAUUCAAAUUUUAUAUUUCCUCCAGAGUUAGUUUCAUUAAUUUGUCUUCCAAGUUACUUCUUAGAAGUUGUCAAAUUUAUUUCAAAAAAGAUUUUUGUAAUAUGCUUUCUAUAUCCUUUUAAAUUCUGUAAAAUCUGUGGUAAUGUCUCCUAGAUCUUGAUAUUGUAAUUUAAAAAAUGUAUAACUGAUAUUGUGUAACAGGAAGAAAAGGUCUAAAAGAGCAGGG
rnacentral:lncRNA from 1 species